rnacentral:rRNA from 1 species
AGAGUUUGAUCCUGGCUCAGGAUGAACGCUGGCGGCGUGCUUAACACAUGCAAGUCGAACGAACCUUCGGGUUAGUGGCGGACGGGUGAGUAACGCGUGAGAAUCUGCCCUCAGGAGGGGGAUAACAGUUGGAAACGACUGCUAAUACCCCAUAUGCCGAGAGGUGAAAUGAAUUUCGCCUGGGGAUGAGCUCGCGUCUGAUUAGCUUGUUGGUGGGGUAAUAGCCUACCAAGGCUUCGAUCAGUAGCUGGUCUGAGAGGACGAUCAGCCACACUGGGACUGAGACACGGCCCAGACUCCUACGGGAGGCAGCAGUGGGGAAUUUUCCGCAAUGGGCGAAAGCCUGACGGAGCAACGCCGCGUGAGGGAUGGAGGCCUUUGGGCUGUAAACCUCUUUUCUCAAGGAAGAAGAUCUGACGGUACUUGAGGAAUAAGCCACGGCUAAUUCCGUGCCAGCAGCCGCGGUAAUACGGGAGUGGCAAGCGUUAUCCGGAAUUAUUGGGCGUAAAGCGUCCGCAGGCGGCCGUUUAAGUCUGUUGUUAAAUCGUGGAGCUCAACUCCAUCACGGCAAUGGAAACUGUUCGGCUUGAGUAUGGUAGGGGCAGAGGGAAUUUCCGGUGUAGCGGUGAAAUGCGUAGAUAUCGGGGAGAACACCAGUGGCGAAAGCGCUCUGCUGGGCCAUUACUGACGCUCAUGGACGAAAGCCAGGGGAGCGAAAGGGAUUAGAUACCCCUGUAGUCCUGGCCGUAAACGAUGAACACUAGAUGUUGGGGGAAUCGACCCCCUCGGUGUCGUAGCUAACGCGUUAAGUGUUCCGCCUGGGGAGUACGCACGCAAGUGUGAAACUCAAAGGAAUUGACGGGGGCCCGCACAAGCGGUGGAGUAUGUGGUUUAAUUCGAUGCAACGCGAAGAACCUUACCAAGGCUUGACAUCCUGCGAAUCUCUAAGAAAUUAGAGAGUGCCUUCGGGAACGCAGUGACAGGUGGUGCAUGGCUGUCGUCAGCUCGUGUCGUGAGAUGUUGGGUUAAGUCCCGCAACGAGCGCAACCCACGUUUUUAGUUGCCAGCAUUCAGUUGGGCACUCUAGAAAGACUGCCGGUGACAAACCGGAGGAAGGUGUGGACGACGUCAAGUCAUCAUGCCCCUUACGCCUUGGGCUACACACGUACUACAAUGCUGCGGACAAAGAGUAGCGAUCUUGCGAAAGUUAGCUAAUCUCACAAACCGUGGCUCAGUUCAGAUCGUAGGCUGCAACUCGCCUACGUGAAGGAGGAAUCGCUAGUAAUCGCAGGUCAGCAUACUGCGGUGAAUACGUUCCCGGGCCUUGUACACACCGCCCGUCACACCAUGGAAGUUGGCCAUGCCCGAAGUCGUUACUCUAACCUUUUGGAAGAGGGCGCCGAAGGCAGGGCUAAUGACUGGGGUGAAGUCGUAACAAGGUAACC